rnacentral:rRNA from 1 species
AUGGCAAGGGCGGAAGGCUACCAUGCAGUCGAGCGGUAGCACAGAGAGGCUUGCUCCUCGGGUGACGAGCGGCGGACGGGUGAGUAAUGUCUGGGAAACUGCCUGAUGGAGGGGGAUAACUACUGGAAACGGUAGCUAAUACCGCAUAACGUCGCAAGACCAAAGUGGGGGACCUUCGGGCCUCAUGCCAUCAGAUGUGCCCAGAUGGGAUUAGCUAGUAGGUGGGGUAACGGCUCACCUAGGCGACGAUCCCUAGCUGGUCUGAGAGGAUGACCAGCCACACUGGAACUGAGACACGGUCCAGACUCCUACGGGAGGCAGCAGUGGGGAAUAUUGCACAAUGGGCGCAAGCCUGAUGCAGCCAUGCCGCGUGUGUGAAGAAGGCCUUCGGGUUGUAAAGCACUUUCAGCGGGGAGGAAGGCGAUAAGGUUAAUAACCUUGUCGAUUGACGUUACCCGCAGAAGAAGCACCGGCUAACUCCGUGCCAGCAGCCGCGGUAAUACGGAGGGUGCAAGCGUUAAUCGGAAUUACUGGGCGUAAAGCGCACGCAGGCGGUCUGUCAAGUCGGAUGUGAAAUCCCCGGGCUCAACCUGGGAACUGCAUUCGAAACUGGCAGGCUAGAGUCUUGUAGAGGGGGGUAGAAUUCCAGGUGUAGCGGUGAAAUGCGUAGAGAUCUGGAGGAAUACCGGUGGCGAAGGCGGCCCCCUGGACAAAGACUGACGCUCAGGUGCGAAAGCGUGGGGAGCAAACAGGAUUAGAUACCCUGGUAGUCCACGCCGUAAACGAUGUCGAUUUGGAAGGUUGUGCCCUUGGAGGCGUGGCUUUCCGGAGCUAACGCGUUUAAAUCGACCGCCCUGGGGGAGUACGGCCGGCAAGGUUAAAACUCAAAUGAAUUUGACGGGGGGCCCGCCACAAGCCGGUGGAACCAUGUUGGUUUAAAUUCCGAUGCCAACGGCGAAGAAACCUUACCCUGGGUCUUGAAAUUCCACCGAAGCUUUUCCAGAAAAUGGAAUUGGGUGCCUUUCGGGAAACUUGUGAAAACAGGGUGCCUGCAUUGGCCUGUUCAUCAGCCUCCGUGUUUGUGGAAAUUGUUAGGGUUUAAAGUCCCCUGCAACCCAGGGCGCAAACCCUUGAUUCCUUUUGUUUGCCAAGCGGGUUUAGUGCCCGGGCAACCUCCAAAAGGAAUAACUUGCCCAGUGGUAUUAACCUCGGGAAGG